UUUCUCAAGGUUGACCUCGGAUCAGGUAGGGAUACCCGCUGAACUUAAGCAUAUCAAUAAAGCGGAGGAA
rnacentral:rRNA from 1 species